rnacentral:rRNA from 1 species
UACAGAGGGUGCGAGCGUUGUCCGGAAUCACUGGGCGUAAAGGGCGCGUAGGCGGCUCAGUAAGGUUGCGGUGAAAGCCCGGGGCUCGAACCCCGGGUCGGCCCGUGGCAACUGCUGGGCUGGAGCACUGUAGAGGCAGGUGGGAAUUCCGGGUGUAGCGGUGGAAUGCGUAGAGAUCCGGAAGAACGACCGGUGGCGCAA